GACGAACGCUGGCGGCGUGCUUAACACAUGCAAGUCGAACGGAAAGGCCCUGCUUUUGUGGUUUUCUCGAGUGGCGCACGGGUGAGUCACACGUGAGUAACCUCCCCUUGACUUUGGUAUAACUUCAGGAAACUGGGGCUAAUACCGGAUAUGAGCUCCUGCUGCAUGUUGGUGGUUGGAAAGUUUCGGCGGUUGUGGAUUGACUCGCGGCUUCUCCGCUUGUUGGUGGGGUAGUGGCUUACCAAGGCUUUGACGGGUAGCCUGCCUGAGAGGGUGAACGGCCACAUUGGGACUGAGAUACGGCCCAGACUCCUACGGGAGGCAGCAGGGGGGAAUAUUGCACAAUGGGCGGAAGUCUGAUGCAGAAACGCCGGGUGCGGGAUGACGGCCUUCGGGGUGUAAACCGCUUUCGCCGGUGAAGAAGAGGGAGUGACGGUAAUGGGUAAAGAAGCACCGGCUAACUACGUG
rnacentral:rRNA from 1 species